rnacentral:rRNA from 1 species
AGGAAAGGGGGUGGGGGAAGGGGUCAGUCAUAAGGUGACCGCGCUAGGAAACAUAACGGGUAUCCAAUCUUACAGCGGAGGUUGAUCACACGUGGGCACCUGCCUGCAAGACUGGGGUAACUUCGGGAAACCGAAGCUAAUACCGGAAGGAUCUUCUCCUUCAUGGGAGAUGAUUGAAAGAUGGUUUCGGCUAUCACUUACAGAUGGGCCCGCGGUGCAUUAGCUAGUUGGUGAGGUAACGGCUCACCAAGGCAACGAUGCAUAGCCGACCUGAGAGGGUGAUCGGCCACACUGGGACUGAGACACGGCCCAGACUCCUACGGGAGGCAGCAGUAGGGAAUCUUCCGCAAUGGACGAAAGUCUGACGGAGCAACGCCGCGUGAGUGAUGAAGGCUUUCGGGUCGUAAAACUCUGUUGUUAGGGAAGAACAAGUACGAGAGUAACUGCUCGUACCUUGACGGUACCUAACCAGAAAGCCACGGCUAACUACGUGCCAGCAGCCGCGGUAAUACGUAGGUGGCAAGCGUUAUCCGGAAUUAUUGGGCGUAAAGCGCGCGCAUGCGGUUUCUUAAGUCUGAUGUGAAAGCCCACGGCUCAACCGUGGAGGGUCAUUGGAAACUGGGGAACUUGAGUGCAGAAGAGAAAAAGCGGAAUUCCACGCUGUAGCGGUGAAAUGCGUAGAGAUGUGGAGGAACACCCAGUGGCGAAAGGCGGCUUUUUGGUCUGUAACUGACGCUGAGGCGCGAAAGCGUGGGGGAGCAAACAGGAUUAGAUACGCCUGGUAGUCCACGCCGUAAACGAUGAGUGCUAAGUGUUAAGAGGGGUUUCCGUCCCUUUAGUGCUGCAGCUAACGCAUUUAAACACUCCGCCCUGGGGGAGUACGGUCGCAAGAACUGAAACUCAAAGGAAGUUGAACGGGGGCCCGCAACAAGCGGUGGAGCAAUGAUGGUUUCGAAUUCGAAGCAACGCCGAAGGAUCCUUACCCAGGUCUUGAACAUCAUCAUGACAACCUCUAGAGAUUAAAGCGGAUUCCCCCUGUCGGGGGUACAGAAAGCUGACCAGGGUGGCUGCAUGAUGUCGUCCAGCAUCCGAGUAUUCGAAUGA